rnacentral:rRNA from 1 species
UGCUUGCACCUUUCAAGCGAGUGGCGAACGGGUGAGUAACACGUGGAUAACCUGCCUCAAGGCUGGGGAUAACAUUUGGAAACAGAUGCUAAUACCGAAUAAAACUUAGUAUCGCAUGAUACAAAGUUGAAAGGCGCUACGGCGUCACCUAGAGAUGGGUCCGCGGUGCAUUAGUUAGUUGGUGGGGUAAAGGCCUACCAAGACAAUGAUGCAUAGCCGAGUUGAGAGACUGAUCGGCCACAUUGGGACUGAGACACGGCCCAAACUCCUACGGGAGGCUGCAGUAGGGAAUCUUCCACAAUGGGCGAAAGCCUGAUGGAGCAACGCCGCGUGUGUGAUGAAGGCUUUAGGGUCGUAAAGCACUGUUGUAUGGGAAGAAAUGCUAGAAUAGGGAAUGAUUCUAGUUCGACGGUACCAUACCAGAAAGGGACGGCUAAAUACGUGCCAGCAGCCGCGGUAAUACGUAUGUCCCGAGCGUUAUCCGGAUUUAUUGGGCGUAAAGCGAGCGCAGACGGUUGAUUAAGUCUGAUGUGAAAGCCCGGAGCUCAACUCCGGAAUGGCAUUGGAAACUGGUUAACUUGAGUGUUGUAGAGGUAAGUGGAACUCCAUGGGUAAG